CCCCUGACGCCACAGCGGAAGGCGCCGCUCCGGGAUUGGACGAGCUGGCCUGUCAAUCAAGCGCGGCGCUGAGUGUUCGGUGAGCUGAGACUGCGCGGCUCUCAGACAGGAGAAGCACUCUCAGGACCAGCACCACAUCUACCUGUGGGCCUCCAUGUUCCUGUCAUGAUGAUAAUGCACUGGACUUCUAAAACUGACUUGGGGUUGAAUCUACAGCAGCUUGCUACAUAGUAGCAGGUAUCAGCCACCAAUAACUCAGUAAGGCGUGGGUCCUGGGGAGUCCCCCACCCUUCUAUGCUGAAAUUUUGCCUUGCUUCAUGUUGUGCAGGUCUUGUGCAAGUGACCACAUCUGCUUUGAGUUCAUCACUGCAAUAGACAUGUCAGUGUUGGGUUUUGUUGUUGUUGUUUUGAUUUUUGUUUUUUAGGAGUAUGGCAUGUCUGCUUUACUUACAUACCUACCGUAGAAUCAUAAACAGGAGCAGCUAUGAAAAAAGACUUGCAUAAAUAAGGAUAAGGAGACUCUUUCCAAACAUUAGCUCUCACAUCAUCAGACACAAAAUGGUCUGGAUUAUGGAUUACAUACAAUAGGUGAGAAUUCUUUAUACUCUACACUCAUUCCCUAUGUAUUGCCUAAUGUGGCCCACUAUGAGAAGACAAACUUUCCAUUCUAAUGUUUAGACUCCCUGUUACUGAAAAUCCAGCUUUUCUUUCUUUCUUUUU